rnacentral:rRNA from 1 species
GAUGAACGCUGGCGGCGCGCCUAACACAUGCAAGUCGAACGAUUAAAGCACCUUCGGGUGUGUAUAAAGUGGCGAACGGCUGAGUAACACGUGGGCAACCUGCCCCUCUCAUUGGGAUAGCCACGGGAAACCGUGGAUAAUACCGAAUACUUCGGGACUUCCGCAUGGAAGACUCGAGAAAGCUCCGGCGGAGAGGGAUGGGCCCGCGGCCUGUUAGCUUGUUGGUGGGGUAAUGGCCUACCAAGGCAAUGAUGGGUAGCUGGGUUGAGAGACCGACCAGCCAGAUUGGGACUGAGACACGGCCCAGACUCCUACGGGAGGCAGCAGUGGGGAAUCUUGCACAAUGGGCGAAAGCCUGAUGCAGCGACGCCGCGUGCGGGAUGAAGGCCUUCGGGUUGUAAACCGCUUUCAGCAGGGACGAGGCGAAAGUGACGGUACCUGCAGAAGAAGCCCCGGCUACUACGUG